rnacentral:tRNA from 1 species
GCCAAGAUGGCGGAGUGGUCAAACGCACUUGACUGUAAAUCAGGCGCCCGGAAGGGCUACGUAGGUUCGAAUCCUGCUCUUGGCA